rnacentral:rRNA from 1 species
CAGUAGCCGCGGUAAUACGUAGGGCGCAAGCGUUAUCCGGAAUUACUGGGCGUAAAGGGAGCGUAGGCGGAUCGUUAAGUUGGGGGUGAAAGCCCGGGGCUCAACCUCGGAACUGCCUUCAAUACUGGCGAUCUUGAGUAUGAGAGAGGUGUGUGGAACUCCGAGUGUAGAGGUGAAAUACGUAGAUAUUCGGAAGAACACCAGUGGCGAAGGCGACACACUGGCUCAUUACUGACGCUGAGGCUCGAAAGCGUGGGGAGCAAACAGGAUUAGAUACCCCAGUAGUCCCUGUCUCUUAUAC